rnacentral:lncRNA from 1 species
CAAGGACGAAACCACAAGAAACUCUGAAAUAAAAGAGGCAAAGAACAUUCAGGGAGACUGAACAGAAGAUGCCAAAAACGUGGCACACAUACUGAGGAAAGGCCAUGUGUAGACACACAUAAAGGAGGUGUCCAUCUGCAAACCAAGAAGAGAGCCUUCACCAAAACCCUUCCAUGCUGGCACCUUGACCUUGAACUUAUGGCCUCCAGAAUUAAGAAGAUGAAUUGAAAUCGUAUUGAAGGGACUUGGAUGACUCCAUCAAAUGUCUCCUCAUCCCAGGGAUAAUGUUUAAAACGUCAUCUAAUCUGGACAAAAAUAUUUGAAAACAAACAAACAAAAAAGGCGGGGGGCACCAGUGAGCAUACGGAGACUGUAUUACGUAAGAAGAAAGGAAGAUGUGAAUAUAGUAGAGACUGGAGGAGUUCACAUUUCAAGUUUCAAGGAGACACAGAAGAUAGCCAAUUGUAGAAAAGAAGAAAAAACUUUAAAGAGACAGAAUCUCCCUUUGGUACCCAGGCUGGCCUCGAAUUCCUAAGCUCAAACAAUCCUCCUGCCUCAGCCUCCUAGAAGAUAGGACUAUAAGCAUCACUUGGAUUGGUACAUCCCCAUCUUUGGAGGAAGUCUGCGAUGAAGCCUUGUGUAAGUCAGUCACAGUGUUAAACUGAACCCAGGAGAUUUCACAGGAUUUCAAGUGCAGAAUCAAAGACAUAUAACCAUAAUAAAAUGCAAAAUCACAAGCCCUCAGAAUCAGAAGGGAUGUCAAGGAAAAUGCCUUCCCUCUCUCCACCUCUCUGAAUGCAGAACACUGAAGCUUCUGUGCAUCUGGUGAGCACGUGGUACAGAAUUGCAAGUUUCAUGAGCCCUGAUUAACUUCUCAUAGAGGCUGGCUGUGUUAGACUUUUGCUAAGGCCAAGAGUUUUAUUUUGUUCUAUCCUAUUUCAUUAUUAUAAAAAUCUGGAGAGUUGCUUAUUAUUAUGAACUCCUGUUUGAAGAUAUGGAAAUGAGGAAAAUGAAGACCUAUGGUACUUUUUUAAAAGUGAUACUAUAAAUAAGGAAUAAAAUGUGAAGUUGUGUGGUUGCCUGGAGUUCUUCUGCUUCCCUCAUCCAUAUCAACACAUACAAAUAAAUAAACUCCUGAGUACAUUCAUAUUCUAGGUAUUAAUACUGUUUCACCAAUUAUACACAGCAAGCUCAACAUAGCCAUCUUUCUUCAUCCAUAAUUUUUUCAGUGAUAAAUUUUCGUCAGUGAUGAAAGGCUCAGCUGGAAAAUUCUGCUUAAGAUCUCUCACAUAAUUGUAGUUAGAUAUUGG